rnacentral:rRNA from 1 species
GGACUACUAGGGUUUCUAAUCCUGUUUGCUCCCCUAGCUUUCGUUCCUCAGCGUCAGUUGCGGUCCAGCGAGCCGCCUUCGCCACGGGUGUUCCUGCAGAUAUCUACGCAUUUCACCGCUACACCUGCAAUUCCACUCGCCUCUCCCGCACUCUAGCACGGCAGUUUCGGAAGCAGCCUCUGAGUUAAGCCCAGAGAUUUCACUCCCGACUUGCCACACCGCCUACGAACCCUUUACGCCCAGUAAUUCCGAGCAACGCUGGCCCCCUACGUCUUACCGCGGCUGCUGGCAC